UAUGGUUAUGAAGAGCUGAGGAUACACCUGUACCCAUGCCGAACACAGAAGUUAAGCUCAGUAUCGCUGAUGGUAGUCAAACCGCAGGGUUUCGCGAGAGUAAGCAAUAGCCAAUU
rfam:Peptostreptococcaceae bacterium CCRI-22567 contig-1, whole genome shotgun sequence.